GUAGUCCACGCCCUAAACGGUGAUGUGCUAGGUGUAGGAGGAGUUCCACGCCGUCUGUGCCGCAGCUCGGCAUUAAGCACCCCGCCGGGGGAGUACGGCCGCAAAGUUAAAACUCAAAGGAAUUGACGGGGGCCCGCACAAGCGGGGAAGAUUGUGGUUUAUUUCAACGCACCGCGAAAAACCUUACCAAGGUUUGACUUGCAGAAAAAUCCGGCAAAUAUGUCGGGGCCGCAAGGGCUCUGCACAGGUGGUGCAUGGUUGUCGUCAGCUCGUGUCGUGAGAUGUUGGGUUAAGUCCCGCAACGAGCGCAACCCUCGUCCUAUGUUGCCUGGGGUCAUGCCGGGGACUCAUAGGAGACUGCCGGGGGAACUCCGAAGAAGGGGGGAUGACGUCAAAUCAUCAUGCCCCUUAUGUCUUGGGCUGCACACAUGCUACAAUGGCCGGUACAAAGGGCUGCUAAACCGCGAGGUGGAGAGAAUCCCAAAAAGCCGGUCUCAGUUCGGAUUGGGGUCUGCAACUCGACCCUCUGAAGUCGGAGUCGCUAGUAAUCGCAGAUCAGCAACGCUGCGGUGAAUA
rnacentral:rRNA from 1 species